rnacentral:lncRNA from 1 species
GGAAGGGUUUGGAGCACUCAGUAUUUUUUGGCAAGCCUUCCACCACCCUUCCUGUCCCUUCAGUGCUGGCCCAUCCUUGGAGCUGGGCUAGAUGACCGACUUCCACCAUGAAGGGGAAGCUGCCUACCUAGGAAGCAAAGAGAGAUGGAAAUGAAGACCACGACUGAGGACCAAGCUUUCAACACAUGGGCCAUUAGGGGACAGCUGGUUUUAACCUCAACAUAAAACAGGGGCCCUUUCCCCAGAGCCCCUUCCACUUCCCACCUGCCUCUUCCCACAGUUCCUCCUCCUGAGGUCCUGACCAUCUUCAGAGAUUUAAACAUUUAAAGAGUAGUAAAGGAAGAGGUGAUUAAGACCCAGACUCACACAGGUGACCGUGUGAAGACACAAGGAGAAGGUCUAUAACCAGGAGGCUGGGGUGUGGGAUGGUCAGUGAAGCUGCUGUAGUGCUGAGCUCAGAACUUCUACCAACUGAAGG